CGCUCAGGACGAACGCUGGCGGCGUGCCUAAUACAUGCAAGUCGAGCGAAUGAUGAAGAAGCUUGCUUCUUCUGAUUUAGCGGCGGACGGGUGAGUAACACGUGGGCAACCUGCCCUGUAGAUUGGGAUAACUCCGGGAAACCGGGGCUAAUACCGAAUAAUCCAUUUCCUCACAUGUGGGAAUGUUAAAAGACGGUUUCGGCUGUCACUACAGGAUGGGCCCGCGGCGCAUUAGCUAGUUGGUGAGGUAAUGGCUCACCAAGGCGACGAUGCGUAGCCGACCUGAGAGGGUGAUCGGCCACACUGGGACUGAGACACGGCCCAGACUCCUACGGGAGGCAGCAGUAGGGAAUCUUCCACAAUGGACGAAAGUCUGAUGGAGCAACGCCGCGUGAGUGAAGAAGGUUUUCGGAUCGUAAAACUCUGUUGUGAGGGAAGAACAAGUACGAGAGUAACUGCUCGUACCUUGACGGUACCUCAUUAGAAAGCCACGGCUAACUACGUGCCAGCAGCCGCGGUAAUACGUAGGUGGCAAGCGUUGUCCGGAAUUAUUGGGCGUAAAGCGCGCGCAGGCGGUCCUUUAAGUCUGAUGUGAAAGCCCACGGCUCAACCGUGGAAGGUCAUUGGAAACUGGGGGACUUGAGUGCAGAAGAGGAAAGUGGAAUUCCAAGUGUAGCGGUGAAAUGCGUAGAGAUUUGGAGGAACACCAGUGGCGAAGGCGACUUUCUGGUCUNAACUACCGCUNGGCNAAAG
rnacentral:rRNA from 1 species